GUCUUAGUACUGUCUUCGUGUCUAAAAACAGUGCUUGAUACACAGUUGGGGGUUCAUGGCAACCUAGGGCAUUGUGAGUUCAAAACAGCAUUACAAGUUUGUGAGCAAGGAGGGAGCAGAUUGAUAUAUGUCUCUUCUACCUUGCCCAGAUGUUACAGGAAUGCAUAGCAUUGCAGUAAUGCCAUCCUGGCUGUAAUUAAAAAUAAUUGAUUUUAUUUUUAAUGGAAAAUAAAUCUUUUAGGAACUACAUUUUUAUUAUUAGAAAUCUUUUCAAAAAGCAUUAAUAAGAAUGAUCAGUACUUACUUUUUUUUUCACAUCAUGGUUUGCAUAGAAGAUGAGAAAUAAUUAUGUGUAGGAUUAGAGUAAAUGGGCAAGGCAGCAUGGAUGUCCUGAGGACAAAGAGAUCUUGGGCACACCUAAAGCCCAUAAAUAUGGAAGACUCAGAAUCACUAAGUGCUGACAUCUUUGUGCCUUAAAUAUUUAUCUCCUCUUUUUCUAGUCCAUUAACAUCACCCAAGUUAAGGCUUUUAUCAUUUCUCACCUGUAAUGUUGCAAUCAUCUUUUUAAUAAUAUUCCUGCAUUUUAUAUUUCCAUAACUCAUUCUUUUGUACUUUCAUCAAGUAAUCUUUUAUAACAAAUUUGAUUAAGUCACUCUCUGACUCAAAAUGACCCAGUUGUUUCAAUUCACCUGCAGAAUAAAAU
rnacentral:lncRNA from 1 species